AUUGAACGCUGGCGGCAGGCCUAACACAUGCAAGUCGAGCGGAUGAAGGGAGCUUGCUCCUGGAUUCAGCGGCGGACGGGUGAGUAAUGCCUAGGAAUCUGCCUGGUAGUGGGGGAUAACGUCCGGAAAAGGGCGCUAAUACCGCAUACGUCCUGAGGGAGAAAGUGGGGGAUCUUUGGACCUCACGCUAUCAGAUGAGCCUAGGUCGGAUUAGCUAGUUGGUGGGGUAAAGGCCUACCAAGGGGACGAUCCGUAACUGGUGUGAGAGGAUGAUCAGUCACACGGGAAGGGAGACACGGACCAGGCUACUAAGAGAGGGAGCAGACGGCAACAGGGGGCAGUGGGGGAAAGCCUUGUCCAGUCAUGGCGAGUGUGUGAAGGAGGUCUUGGGAUUGUAAAGCCGGUUUAGUUGUGAGGAAGGGCAGUAAGUAAAUACCAUGCUGUUGUGACGUUACCAACAGAAUAAGCACCGGCUAACUUCGUG
rnacentral:rRNA from 1 species